GCAGCAGUGGUGGAACUGGCAGACACACUAGCUUGAGGGGCUAGCGGGUGCAAACCUGUGCGAGUUCAACUCUCGCCUGCUGCA
rnacentral:tRNA from 1 species